CCCGUUUUCAAUAAUAUUUGUUUCUAGAAAUGCCUCGUAUUAAACAUUGUUUUUUCAAAACAUGCCAAAACAACACUGGUUUGUCGGCGAAAAAGAAGUUUUUUACUUCGUGAUAAUUCAGUGUCGUAAAUAAUAAAAUCACACAAGAAAAAUAUCCGAACAAUGUGAACUGUUAGUAAACCAUUGUCAAGUGUCACUGGUAGUGAAGUGACAAUGACAAUGACAAUGUCAACCCAAUCGGAAGUCAUUUCUUUGCUUGUAGUGGCAGAACUGAAGCAGCUGGGUGACGUCAAUUUCCGUUUUAACUAUUUUUAGAGAUUUUGAAUACAAAAAAUCGUAAAAAAUAUAUAAAA